UACGGAGGGUGCAAGCGAUCUCCGGAAUUACUGGGUUUAAAGGGUGCGUAGGCGGUUAAUUAAGUCAGAGGUGAAAGGUAAUUGCUUAACGAUUGAAUUGCCUUUGAUACUGGUUAACUUGAAAGGAGAUGAGGUUGGCGGAAGGUGAUAUGGAGCGGUGAAAUGCGUAGAUAUAUCAUAGAACACCGAUUGCGAAGGCAGCUGACUAAUCUUACUUUGACGCUGAGGCACGAAAGCGUGGGGAGCGAACAGG
rnacentral:rRNA from 1 species